rnacentral:lncRNA from 1 species
AGAGAAGUGCAAGUAUGUGAUAUCCAGGUGAAUUCUAUAUCACUGAGACGCCUGGGAAGCCCAAGGUAGAGAACACAUGGUCCAACAUGAAAGCAACA